AUGGAGAGGAAACUGGGAGCUGUGCUGGGGAUUCUGUGGGUGUGGAUUUGCUGGGUCAGAGGAGUUGAGGUGGAGCAGAAUCCUUCAGCCCUGAAUCUCCAGGAGGGAAGCAGUUCUACUCUGUCAUGCAAUUUUUCCACAACCAUGACAAAAGUGCAGUGGUUUCGGCAGAAUUCCAGGGGCAGCCUCAUCAAUCUUUUCUAUCUGACUCCCGGAACAAAGCAGAAUGGGAGAUUAAACUCAACCUUCAACAAUAAGGAGCGCAAGAGCACCCUUCACAUCAGAGAUGCCCAGCUGGAGGACUCUGGCACCUACCUCUGUGCAGCAGAGGCACAGUGCUUCCAGCAAGCCUGA